rnacentral:rRNA from 2 species
UACCCGCGGCAAGACGGAAAGACCCCGUGAACCUUUACUAUAGCUUGACACUGAACAUUGAGCCUUGAUGUGUAGGAUAGGUGGGAGGCUUUGAAGUGUGGACGCCAGUCUGCAUGGAGCCGACCUUGAAAUACCACCCUUUAAUGUUUGAUGUUCUAACGUGGACCCGUAAUCCGGGUUGCGGACAGUGUCUGGUGGGUAGUUUGACUGGGGCGGUCUCCUCCUAAAGAGUAACGGAGGAGCACGAAGGUUGGCUAAUCCUGGUCGGACAUCAGGAGGUUAGUGCAAUGGCAUAAGCCAGCUUGACUGCGAGCGUGACGGCGCGAGCAGGUGCGAAAGCAGGUCAUAGUGAUCCGGUGGUUCUGAAUGGAAGGGCCAUCGCUCAACGGAUAAAAGGUACUCCGGGGAUAACAGGCUGAUACCGCCCAAGAGUUCAUAUCGACGGCGGUGUUUGGCACCUCGAUGUCGGCUCAUCACAUCCUGGGGCUGAAGUAGGUCCCAAGGGUAUGGCUGUUCGCCAUUUAAAGUGGUACGCGAGCUGGGUUUAGAACGUCGUGAGACAGUUCGGUCCCUAUCUGCCGUGGGCGCUGGAGAACUGAGGGGGGCUGCUCCUAGUACGAGAGGACCGGAGUGGACGCAUCACUGGUGUUCGGGUUGUCAUGCCAAUGGCACUGCCCGGUAGCUAAAUGCGGAAGAGAUAAGUGCUGAAAGCAUCUAAGCACGAAACUUGCCCCGA